UACGGCUCAGUAACACGUAGUUAAUCUGCCCUUGGGACGGAAAUAACCCUGGGAAACUGGGGCUAAUACCCGAUGGGCGCAGUGGCCUGGAAUGGUACUGCACCUAAAGGACUCUAGGAACAUGCUCUUGGAGCCGCCCAAGGAUGAGACUGCGGCCGAUCAGGUUGUUGGUGGGGUAACGGCCUACCAAGCCUAUUACCGGUACGGGCCCUGAGAGGGGGGGCCCGGAGAUGGGAACUGAGACAAGGUCCCAGGUCCUACGGGGCGCAGCAGGCGCGAAAACUCCACAAUGCGCGAAUGCGUGAUGGGGUCAGCCCGAGUGCCGUCCGAUGAGGAUGGCUUUUCUCCAGUUUAAGGAGCUGGAGGAAUAAGGGGGGGCAAGACUGGUGUCAGCCGCCGCGGUAAUACCAGCCCCCUGAGUGGUAAGGACGAUUAUUUGGCCUAAAGCGUCCGUAGCCGGCUUGGUAAGUCUUUCGUUAAAUCCGACGAUUCCAUCGUCGGGCCGCGGAAGAUACUGCUAGGCUUGAGGACGGGAGAGGUCGACGGUAGUCCCAGGGUAGGGGUGAAAUCCUAUAAUCCUGGGAGGACCACCAGUGGCGAAGGCGGUCGACUAGAACGUGCCUGACGGUGAUGGACGAAAGCUGGGGGAGCGAACCGGAUUAGACACCCGGGUAGUCCCAGCUGUAAACGAUGCGAGCUAGGUGUUAGAGCAACUAUGGGUUGCUCUAGUGCCGCAGAGAAGUUGUUAAGCUCGCCGCCUGGGAAGUACGGCCGCAAGGCUGAAACUUAAAGGAAUUGGCGGGGGAGCACAAUCA
rnacentral:rRNA from 1 species